GAGAAAUCAUAGAUUUUUAUAAAAUGAAAGCUGCCUCUGAAGCACUGCAGACUCAGCUGAGCACCGAUACAAAGAAAGACAAACAUCUAACAAUUUGGACAAGACAGCAAAUGCUAUUGUCCAAGUUUUCUAAAGAAGAAUCUGAAGUGAAAUGACAUCAAGAGACCUAUCAAGACCUGUAUCCAGGAAAAGGUUUAUAUGUGGAAGAGACUUGCCCUGUCUCAGGAAUUAGAGAAAGAACAAAUCAGUGUGAAGGAGAAUUGUCAGUAAAAUUACAAGAAAAGAUUGAGAUCAUAAUUGACCUUUGAGGAUAAUAAAAUUUAAAGACCAAAAGGAUGGACUUCACAGAAACAUGACCUUAGGUUGUUUUUGCAGUUGUAGUAACUGGUUAUAUGACCAACAAAAUAUGAAGAAUGGGUACAAAUUCUGAUAGUAAUGAUCAGUCACUUUGCAAAUAUAAAGUUACUAUUUACUACUGUA
rnacentral:lncRNA from 1 species